UGGGGAAUAUUGCACAAUGGGGGAAACCCUGAUGCAGCGACGCCGCGUGAGUGAAGAAGUGCUUCGGCAUGUAAAGCUCUAUCAGCAGGGAAGAAGAUGACGGUACCUGACUAAGAAGCCCCGGCUACUACGUG
rnacentral:rRNA from 1 species